ACCUUUUGCUUGUUUUGUUUUGCUUAUGUUUUUUCAAGACAGGAAAGCUCUCUCUGUAGAUCAGGCUGGCCUCAAACUCAGAAACCUGCCUGCCUCAAACUCCCGAAUGCUGGGAUUAAAGUUAUGAUCCACCGCCCAACUAAAACCUUUUCAUCUCCAAUAGUUGCUGGCCACUCAGGUUGGACAGAGGGUGUUGCUCUCUCUUGCUUUUCAAUGUCAGCUAUAUGAACAAACAAGAAAGCCAUCACCAGACACCCAUGCCUUCAUCUUGGACUUCCUGGCCACCAGGACCACGAGAAACCAUGCUGUUCUUUAAACUAGUCAAUUCAAGUAUCCUCUUGUAUAGGACAAGAGGACUAAGCCAGCUGACUGAAAACAAGGUCAUUUUGAAAUAGAAGAGAUGAUUACAGUUAAGAGAUUGCAUAAAUCUCAGAAGGACUUUGGACUUUAAGACAUUGAGACUGUGAUAAGGACUAUGGAGACUUUUGAAGUUCGACUAAACACAUUUUGCAUUAUGAUAUUGUUACACGCUUAAGGGAGCCAGGGAGUGGAAUGUGGUAGUUUGAAUGUAAUUGGCCCUAAUCUCUCAGGAAGUGGCACUAUAGGAAGUGUGUCACUGUGAGGGCAGGCUUUAACGUUUUCUAUGUUCAGGAUACCACCCAGUGUCUCAGUGGACUUCUGGUUGCCUUCAAGAUGUGGUACUCCCAGCUAUUCCCCCAGCACCGCAUUUGUCUGCACGCAAAAACCCUAAGUAAGAUAGGAGGCUAGAGAAAUGGCACAAUGGGAAUUACUCUUCUAGAGGGCAGAUUCAGUUUCCAGCACCCAUAGCUGGUGACUUAUAAGUGCCCGUAACUCAAGCUCCAGGGGAUUUCAUGCCCUUUUCUGUCUUCCAUACACCAGGCACAAAUACCGUGCACAUACAUCCAAGCAAGCUGUCACACACACACACACACACACACACACACACACACACACACACACACACACACACAUAUAUUUUAAAAAAAAAACUCCACUAUGAUAAUAAAAUAGCUCAUCCCUACUAAGUUCUACUGUUUUAUUGUGUGUGGGUGUUUUGUUCCCAUGUAUGGCUGUGCACCACAGGCAUUCAGUGCCCAGGAGGCCAGAAGAUGAUGAUGGAUUCCCUAGAAUUGGAGUUACGAAUAAUUGCAAAGCAUCAUAUGGGUGACGAGAGUCAAACCUGGAUGUUCUGCCUGAAAAAGUGCAUCACCAUCUCUCCUGGUAUAUGAGUUCUUGUCCAACGGGCCGGAUGAGGCAAAAGCCCACGGGGACAGUUGCACCCAGCAAGGACCAGUGGACUUCGAGACAGCAUAGAAUAUUGCUGGGACCUCACAGCCUGCAUGCACUCUUCUCUCUCAUAAUAUUGAUGAUUCUCUUGAUAGUUUUAGUGUCAUUUUGUCAACCAUGCAUGGGGCAGAUGUGAUCAUUCCUGGAAACCCUAAUUUUUUCUGGAACAUUUUCCCCUAAAAUUCUUUGGGAGCUGAUGCUUCUCAGGUUUCUUGUCUGGAAAUGCCAGCUGUUACUCCAGACCCCAGGAGCUGUUCUGAUUUAGUGCUGACAGGAUCAGAGGCAAAUCACCCCUAUUUCUGUAAAUAUGUUUUGAAUGGGAUUGCUGUUCUUGAAAAUGUGUGCCUGUCAGUCACCUUUAGUUUUGUAUAGACAGGAUGUAACUGGCUCAGUAUUUGAGCUAGCAAAAUGAUGUGUUGUUUUGGUUUAAAGAUGUUUUGAUGUAAAAGUUGGGGAAAAAUAUAUUUGACAUAUUUCGUUUUCCUGGAGGUUAAUGUUGGAGGAUGGGAAAAACUUGUUUGUUAAUAUACAAAAAAAUGCUUGGUUUUUUUUUUACAUGCUUGUUUUUAAAAUAUAAGUAAAGGCCAGGCGUUGGUGGCUCAUGCCUUUA